GGCUCUCAGCGGUAGGGCGGGGCUGGCUCUUACCUCUUGGUGAGAGCCAACUAUGCACAUUCCAUCCUCUCUUGACAUUCAACCAUGUCUUAUUGAUAGCAUAAAACUGGCUGUGGCAGAAGAAUUUACACUACUGACGUUGGCAAGUGUUACAGGCCAGGCUUUUCUGUUCCAGAGAGCUGGUUCUUAGCUUUAGUUUCCUCCUAGGCAUCCAACUUGUUCUCCUUGUUUUGUUAGAAACUUGCAUAAGAGCUCUACAAGCUUCCCCAAUGGUUUCAGUGCAAGAGUGUCCGGGAACAUUAUCGUCAAGCUGGGAAUUAGAGUUUAUUUCAAACUGUGUCCUCCUACUUUACAUGAGAAAUGUAUUUCUUCCAGCUUGUGAGAUCCACUGAGAUACCUUCAUCGGUCCAGGCAGCCCCACUUCUCUCUGAGCAAUGGCUGAGAACAGGCUGCUCAGCAGUUCCAGGAUGGGGACCCACAAUGGGGCUGUUGUCCUUGUGAUGUUUGUGCCUAUACACCAUGCUAACCUGCUUUUCUUUAUUGACAUUAUAUUGAAACUGAAGUAAGGACAGGAUUCCAUCCCGAGUGUCUGAGGACACUGAGACAAGGACACACUCCCUGUGAAGUGAAUGGUCAUGCUUAAAAUCCAGGUAUUGGAAAGCAGUCAAUGAAAGAUUAUGGUCUAUGCAAAAAGGAAGCAUGGAAGGCUAGGACUACAUGCACUCCAGCUUUCCUCCAAGAGCAUCUUCCAAUUACCAGGCUGCUGCAUGGAUCCAACAUGAAAGAGGCGGUCUCACUAAGCAGAAGAAAGAUAGAUGGAGUUCUGGGGUGCCAAAGUGGUUUGAAUAGCGGGGGUAGGGUUCCAUAUUGGAGGAGUAUAUGGAAAGGAGCCUCAAAGUGUCAUGAAAAUUAUCCCUGGGUCCUUGGCCAACUCCUAAGCUGUAAAUGCACAGGGAGAGUUUCUAGUAGGCCUAGCAUAGAAUAACUUCUGGAAAGUGGAGAUCCCAACAGAUACCACAGAAGCAAAAUAGUACUUGGGAGAUUAAAAAUGACAUUGGUAUCCACUAUAGUGGAAAGAAUUUUUUUUGUUGUUGAGUUAUUGAUAGGUUACGAUCUUGUGAAAUUUCAGUUGUACAUUAAUGUUUGUCAGUCAUGUUGUAGGUGCACCACUUCACCCUUUGUGCCCACCCCCCACCCCACCUUUCCCCUGGUACCCACUAAACUGUUCUUAGUCCAUAAUUUUAAAUUCCUCAUAUGAGUGGAGUCAUACACAGAUUAUCCUUCUCUCGCUGGCUUAUUUCACUUAACAUAAUUCUCU
rnacentral:lncRNA from 1 species